UUGGGUCAGACAUGCUGACUGUCAGAACAGCAGGACAGCCUCCUCAAACAGCGACUAAUCUGCUAAAUAAGGAAUGUUAGAAAGUAUGAAACCAGUUUGAUACAGCUCCACAUAAGUAAGACAGAAAAUGUUUUCACAAAAGAGUACCUUCAACCAAAACCUGUACCAAGUUGUCAAUACUUAAGAAGUGCUGAUAUGUAAGAGCAGAUACACACACACUGUGGGAUGGAACAAAGUGCUGGACACAGCUCUUCAACCAAGCCUCCAGGGAUCACAUAGUACACAGAACCCAAUGCUCCCAGGGUAUGCUGUUACCAGCCGUAGAGGGACACCCAGACGUACAGCUUCCCCUUGCAACAGCGAGACACCAGAAUCAGGACAGCACAUCAUCUUACCGGAAGGAUAUUAGCAUUCCCGCUAUGAUGUUUAGCGGGCUGCUGCGCCCUGCCUGAUUUGAAACUGACAAAAUGUGCCUAGCCCUUUUGGAUGUGCCCUGGUACCCAACUAGCCGCCAGCUUGGCCGCUGUGCCCCGCCUCCCUGUGAACUUGGUUCCUUCCUUCCAGCUCCGGCACCGAGCGUGCUUCCCCUCUGCCGGUCAAGCCCAUUUAGAAAAGCAAGGAUGCUUGCUUGUGGCUGCCCAGCAGAUUGAAAGAUACCAGCCAGCCCCUAAUGCCAGGGGUUUCACUGUACUCACUUGUGACAUAGUUGGUGUCUUUACUGUAGUAAUUAAUAGUGUAAAAACAUGGCCAGAUUAAUGUUUGUUGGGGCCCCAGAAUAAACAACUUGUGGGGGCCCCAGCCCCCUACCAAUAAAACUGUAACUAUGA